AUUGAACGCUGGCGGCAGGCCUAACACAUGCAAGUCGAGCGGCAGCGGGAAGUAGCUUGCUACUUUGCCGGCGAGCGGCGGACGGGUGAGUAAUGUCUGGGAAACUGCCUGAUGGAGGGGGAUAACUACUGGAAACGGUAGCUAAUACCGCAUAAUGUCGCAAGACCAAAGAGGGGGACCUUCGGGCCUCUUGCCAUCAGAUGUGCCCAGAUGGGAUUAGCUAGUAGGUGGGGUAACGGCUCACCUAGGCGACGAUCCCUAGCUGGUCUGAGAGGAUGACCAGACACACUGGAACUGAGACACGGUCCAGACUCCUACGGGAGGCAGCAGUGGGGAAUAUUGCACAAUGGGCGCAAGCCUGAUGCAGCCAUGCCGCGUGUAUGAAGAAGGCCUUUGGGUUGUAAAGUACUUUCAGCGGGGAGGAAGGUGUUGAGGUUAAUAACCUCAGCAAUUGACGUUACCCGCAGAAGAAGCACCGGCUAACUCCGUGCCAGCCGCCGCCGUAACAC
rnacentral:rRNA from 1 species